UAUAGGCAUGCAUUGGCUGCUUGACAUAUCCCUGGAAGAGGACAUCAACUAGCUAACACAGUCAAUGACAAAUGUCUCUUUGAAUUGAUAAAAUCAUAAUCAAAUAGAUAUAAUACAGAAGUUUCAAAGAUCUGUUUUGAUGUAGCCUGAAGAUUUUGUAAUGAAUGAUCCAGGAACCAAAAAAUCUUCGCGGAGUUCAAAGACAUUUGCCAUGUGGUUGCUAAUUUAGUGACAGAUUAAGAAAGAAGUUCAAACAAGCAUUGUCAUGGGAAAAAAUUAAAAAGGAAGAAGUUGGAGGUAAACAAAAAUCAGGAUGAAUAUACUAGAGAUUUACAAGUGGCUGGAAAUGCAAAAUGAGUAUUUCCAAAGAUCCACUGAAGUUACUGAGUAAUCAAUUGAAGUGAUUCAAGCAGCAAGAUGAAGUAUAUCAAGAAUGAACUGAAAAAAAUUAAAAAUAUUCAAGUAAUUUAAUUUUAAGCAAUUUACAUGUGAUAUAUAUGUAAUUCAUGUGAAAAACGUACGUUGGAUCCACAUACGUAAAACGUAUGGAAUGUAUCACGUAUGUCUAACACACGUAUAACAUACGUUUCACAUAUGUUCAUUAACGUACGUUAAACACACGUGGUACUUAAAUCACGUUAAACGUACGUGAGGUCACAUACGUAUCACACAUGUUUAACGUAUGUUUAACGUAUGUGGCACAUUUUGCUGUGUAACUAGCGUUUUACAGUGUACAUCGUUAAUUAAUAAUUGAUGUUUAUUAUUAUUUACAAACAAAAUCGUAAAUUUAUUAUA